GAUGAACGCUGGCGGCGUGCUUAACACAUGCAAGUCGAACGGUGAACACGGAGCUUGCUCUGUGGGAUCAGUGGCGAACGGGUGAGUAACACGUGAGCAACCUGCCCCUGACUCUGGGAUAAGCACUGGAAACGGCGUCUAAUACUGGAUAUGUGACGUGAUCGCAUGGUCUGCGUCUGGAAAGAAUUUCGGUUGGGGAUGGGCUCGCGGCCUAUCAGCUUGUUGGUGAGGUAAUGGCUCACCAAGGCGUCGACGGGUAGCCGGCCUGAGAGGGUGACCGGCCACACUGGGACUGAGACACGGCCCAGACUCCUACGGGAGGCAGCAGUGGGGAAUAUUGCACAAUGGGCGCAAGCCUGAUGCAGCAACGCCGCGUGAGGGAUGACGGCCUUCGGGUUGUAAACCUCUUUUAGCAGGGAAGAAGCGAAAGUGACGGUACCUGCAGAAAAAGCGCCGGCUAACUACGUG
rnacentral:rRNA from 1 species